rnacentral:other from 1 species
UGCUCCCUGGGUCGCUCGUGAUUCUGCUACGUCCCUGAGCCGAUGUAUUACCUUUGGAGGCAACGCGUUUUGCUGGCGUGCAUGUCCGCUUGACGGAAAGCCCGAUGCUUUACUGAUGCCACCACCUUGAACCUCUGGGUUCAAGGACCAAGCUGAUAGCGACUACUCGGGGAGCUC